UCCAGCAGUGAGGAAGAGCUGUGAUCAAGGGAAUAAACACACUCCUGACUACAAAACAUUUACACUGGCUUGGCAUGUGGCCUCCUGCAUUGGUUGGAAAGAAGUGGGAUCAACAGGGGUCACUGCAAACUAGUUCCAACUGGCUGCAAACAGCUGUGCUGUUAAUUACUUUAUUGGCCAUAGAAGAUCCCAACAGGAACUUCAGGUUCUUUGUAGAGCUGUAACAAUGAGGAAAAUAAAUUUUGGAACAAAUGAAGAAAAGACUUGUAAAAUUCACCGUAAAUUUGCAUCAUUUACCAAGAUGGGACAGCUCCCCAAAUAC